AGUGAACGCUGGCGGUAGGCCUAACACAUGCAAGUCGAACGGCAGCACAGUAAGAGCUUGCUCUUACGGGUGGCGAGUGGCGGACGGGUGAGGAAUACAUCGGAAUCUACUUUUUCGUGGGGGAUAACGUAGGGAAACUUACGCUAAUACCGCAUACGACCUACGGGUGAAAGCAGGGGAUCUUCGGACCUUGCGCGAGUGAAUGAGCCGAUGUCGGUUUAGCUAGUUGGCGGGGGAAAGGGCCACCAAGGCGACGGUCCGUAGCUGGUCUGAGAGGAUGAUCAGCCACACUGGAACUGAGACACGGUCCAGACUCCUACGGGAGGCAGCAGUGGGGAAUAUUGGACAAUGGGCGCAAGCCUGAUCCAGCCUUACCGCGUGGGUGAAGAAGGCCUUCGGGUUGUAAAGCCCUUUUGUUGGGAAAGAAAAGCAGCAGGUUAAUACCCCGCUGUUCUGACGGUACCCAAAGAAUAAGCACCGGCUAACUUCGUG
rnacentral:rRNA from 1 species